UACGUCGGUGGCGAGCGUUGUCCGGAUUUACUGGGCGUACAGGGCUUGUAGGCGGUCCGUUAAGUCCGAUGUGAAAUCUCCCGGCUCACCUGGGAGAGGUCAUUGGAUACUGGCGGACUAGAGGGGGGUAGAGGAGAGCAGAAUUCCUGGUGUAGCGGUGAAAUGCGUAGAUAUCAGGAGGAAUACCAGUGGCGAAGGCGGCUUUCUGGGCCUACCCUGACGCUGAGGAGCGAAAGCGUGGGGAGCAAACCGG
rnacentral:rRNA from 1 species